rnacentral:rRNA from 1 species
AUUGAACGCUGGCGGCAGGCCUAACACAUGCAAGUCGAGCGGUAGCACAGAGAGCUUGCUCUCGGGUGACGAGCGGCGGACGGGUGAGUAAUGUCUGGGAAACUGCCUGAUGGAGGGGGAUAACUACUGGAAACGGUAGCUAAUACCGCAUAAUGUCGCAAGACCAAAGUGGGGGACCUUCGGGCCUCAUGCCAUCAGAUGUGCCCAGAUGGGAUUAGCUAGUAGGUGGGGUAACGGCGCACCUAGGCGACGAUCCCUAGCUGGUCUGAGAGGAUGACCAGCCACACUGGAACUGGGACACGGUCCAGACUCCGACGGGAGGCAGCAGUGGGGAAUAUUGCACAAUGGGCGCAAGCCUGAUGCAGCCAUGCCGCUUGUAUGAAGAAGGCCUUCGGGUUGUAAAGUACUUUCAGCGGGGAGGAAGGCGACAAGGUUAAUAACCUUGUCGAUUGACGUUACCCGCAGAAGAAGCACCGGCUAACUCCGUGCCAGCCGCCGCCGUAAGAC